rnacentral:rRNA from 1 species
GACGAACGCUGGCGGCGCGCUUAACACAUGCAAGUCGAACGGAAAGGCCUGCUUUCCCUUGUGGAUUGCGGGUACUCGAGUGGCGAACGGGUGAGUAACACGUGAGUGAUCUGCCCCCAACUUGGGUAUAAGCCUGGGAAACUGGGUCUAAUUCCCGAUAGGACUGCAGGGUGGUGCCUGUGGUGGAAAACGAUUUUCUAGUGGUUGGGGAUGAGCUCGCGGCCUAUCAGCUUGUUGGUGGGGUAAUGGCCUACCAAGGCGGCGACGGGUAGCCGGCCUGAGAGGGUGGACGGCCACAUUGGGACUGAGAUACGGCCCAGACUCCUACGGGAGGCAGCAGUGGGGAAUAUUGCACAAUGGGCGGAAGCCUGAUGCAGCGACGCCGCGUGGGGGAUGACGGCCUUCGGGUUGUAAACUCCUUUCGACCGCGAGGAAGCCACCUGGUUGGAGGGGUGGUGACGGUAGUGGUAGAAGAAGCACCGGCUAACUACG